rnacentral:rRNA from 1 species
AGUGAACGCUGGCGGUAGGCCUAACACAUGCAAGUCGAACGGCAGCACAGUAAGAGCUUGCUCUUACGGGUGGCGAGUGGCGGACGGGUGAGGAAUACAUCGGAAUCUACUUUUUCGUGGGGGAUAACGUAGGGAAACUUACGCUAAUACCGCAUACGACCUACGGGUGAAAGCAGGGGAUCUUCGGACCUUGCGCGAUUGAAUGAGCCGAUGUCGGAUUAGCUAGUUGGCGGGGUAAAGGCCCACCAAGGCGACGAUCCGUAGCUGGUCUGAGAGGAUGAUCAGCCACACUGGAACUGAGACACGGUCCAGACUCCUACGGGAGGCAGCAGGGGGGAAUAUUGGACAAUGGGCGCAAGCCUGAUCCAGCCAUACCGCGUGGGUGAAGAAGGCCUUCGGGUUGUAAAGCCCUUUUGUUGGGAAAGAAAAGCAGCAGGUUAAUACCCCGCUGUUCUGACAGUACCCAAAGAAUAAGCACCGGCUAACUUCGU